rnacentral:rRNA from 1 species
AACGAACGCUGGCGGCAGGCUUAACACAUGCAAGUCGAGCGCCCCGCAAGGGGAGCGGCAGACGGGUGAGUAACGCGUGGGAAUCUACCCAUCUCUACGGAAUAACGCAUGGAAACGUGUGCUAAUACCGUAUACGUCCUUCGGGAGAAAGAUUUAUCGGAGAUGGAUGAGCCCGCGUUGGAUUAGCUAGUUGGUGGGGUAAAGGCCUACCAAGGCGACGAUCCAUAGCUGGUCUGAGAGGAUGAGCAGCCACACUGGGACUGAGACACGGCCCAGACUCCUACGGGAGGCAGCAGUGGGGAAUAUUGGACAAUGGGCGCAAGCCUGAUCCAGCCAUGCCGCGUGAGUGAUGAAGGCCCGAGGGUUGUAAAGCUCUUUCACCGGUGAAGAUAAUGACGGUAACCGGAGAAGAAGCCCCGGCUAACUUCGUGCCAGCCGCCGCAGUAAGAC